rnacentral:rRNA from 1 species
UACGUAGGGUGCGAGCGUUGUCCGGAUUUAUUGGGCGUAAAGAGCUCGUAGGCGGUUUGUCGCGUCGGCCGUGAAAUCUCCACGCUUAACGUGGAGCGUGCGGUCGAUACGGGCAGACUUGAGUUCGGUAGGGGAGACUGGAAUUCCGUGGUGUAGCGGUGAAAUGCGCAGGAUAAUCAGGAGGAACACCGGUGGCGAAGGCGGGUCUCUGGGCCGAUGACUGACGCUGAGGAGCGAAAGCGUGGGGAGCGAACAGG